UACAGAGGGGGCAAGCGUUGUUCGGAAUUACUGGGCGUAAAGGGCGCGUAGGCGGCCUGCUAAGUCGAACGUGAAAUCCCCGGGCUCAACCCGGGAACUGCGUCCGAUACUGGCAGGCUUGAAUCCGGGAGAGGGAUGCGGAAUUCCAGGUGUAGCGGUGAAAUGCGUAGAUACCUGGAGGAACACCGGUGGCGAAGGCGGCAUCCUGGACCGGCAUUGACGCUGAGGCGCGAAAGCCAGGGGAGCAAACGGG
rnacentral:rRNA from 1 species